AGAGGAACUCCCGAGCAUUUGU
rnacentral:miRNA from 1 species